rnacentral:rRNA from 1 species
UACGUAGGUCCCGAGCGUUGUCCGGAUUUAUUGGGCGUAAAGCGAGCGCAGGUGGUUUAUUAAGUCUGGUGUAAAAGGCAGUGGCUCAACCAUCCUAUGCAUUGGAAACUGGUAGACUUGAGUGCAGGAGAGGAGAGUGGAAUUCCAUGUGUAGCGGUGAAAUGCGUAGAUAUAUGGAGGAACACCGGUGGCGAAAGCGGCUCUCUGGCCUGUAACUGACACUGAGGCUCGAAAGCGUGGGGAGCAAACAGG